UACGGGGGGGGCAAGCGUUGUUCGGAAUUACUGGGCGUAAAGGGCUCGUAGGCGGCCAACUAAGUCAUACGUGAAAUCCCUCGGCUUAACCGGGGAACUGCGUCUGAUACUGGAAGGCUUGAGUUCGGGAGAGGGAUGCGGAAUUCCAGGUGUAGCGGUGAAAUGCGUAGAUAUCUGGAGGAACACCGGUGGCGAAGGCGACUUUCUGGCCUGUUCUUGACGCUGAGGCGCGAAAGCUAGGGGAGCAAACGGG
rnacentral:rRNA from 1 species